UACGGAGGGUGCAAGCGUUGUUCGGAAUUAUUGGGCGUAAAGGGCAGGUAGGUGGUCUUGUAAGUCUACUGUGAAAUCCCUGGGCUUAACCCAGGAAGUGCGGUGGAUACUGCAAGACUAGAGUGCCGGAUGGGUGCGUAGAAUUCUCGGUGUAGCGGUGAAAUGCGUAGAUAUCGAGAGGAAUACCAGAGGCGAAGGCGGCGCACUGGACGGCAACUGACACUCAACUGCGAAAGCGUGGGGAGCAAACAGG
rnacentral:rRNA from 1 species